UGAGGAAUAUUGGUCAAUGGGCGAGAGCCUGAACCAGCCAAGUCGCGUGAAGGAAGACUGCCCGCAAGGGUUGUAAACUUCUUUUGUAUGGGAUUAAAGUCACCUACGUGUAGGUGUUUGCAGUUACCAUACGAAUAAGCAUCGGCUAACUCCGUGCCAGCAGCCGCGGUAAUACGGAGGAUGCGAGCGUUAUCCGGAUUUAUUGGGUUUAAAGGGAGCGUAGGCUGUUUGUUAAGCGUGUUGUGAAAUGUAAGAGCUCAACUUUUAGAUUGCAGCGCGAACUGGCAGACUUGAGUGCGCACAACGUAGGCGGAAUUCAUGGUGUAGCGGUGAAAUGCUUAGAUAUCAUGACGAACUCCGAUUGCGAAGGCAGCUUACGGGAGCGCAACUGACGCUAAAGCUCGAAGGUGCGGGUAUCGAACAGG
rnacentral:rRNA from 1 species